rnacentral:tRNA from 1 species
GGCGAUGUGGCCUAAUGGAUAUGGCGUCGGUCUACGGAAUCGGGGAUUCUGGUUCGAGUCUCAGCCUCGUCU